AUCAAGAUAUGGUAGAAGGUGAGUGACUUUAUUAUAAACCAAAGCCAGCAGUGGGGAAUACAAUCCAGGUUAUUGUCUCAGUGAAACCACUUCAAAUUUCCAAGUGAAAUGCAAGGGUUUAGGAAGGGAAGGUUUUGGCAUGGAGGGUAUGCAAGGGGUCAGAGGCAGUGCAGGUCAGUGUGACUUGUUCCCAUGACUUGACUUGAGUUAUUUCUCUAUCUGGUGAAUGGGUAGGCGCCAUCUUAGGCUCCAGUAGCCAUGAAGCAAUUUCCUGGUGGGGGCGAUUUCCAUAGUUGCCUGUAUUUUAUUUUAUUUUAUUUUUUUGAGAUGGAGUUUCGCUAUUGUUACCCAGACUGGAGUGCAAUGGCACAAUCUCGGCUCACUGCAACCUCCGCCUCCUCGGUUCAGACAAUUCUUCUGCCUCAGCCUCCUGAGUAGCUGGGAUUACAGGCAUGUGCCACCAUGCCCAGCUAAUUUUUGUAUUUUUAGUAGAGACGGGUUUCACCUCAUUGACCAGGAUGGUCUCGAUCUCUUGACCUCGUGAUCCACCCGCCUUGGCCUCCCAAAGUGCUGGGAUUAUAGGCGUGAGCCACCGCGCCCGGCCAAGCCUGUAUUGUUUCAAGAUUUAGUCUCUGGAACUUUUAAGCAAACAUAGUAAAUACACUAGUAUGAAAUAAGUGUGAAGGGUACCUAGUGGAAAGAAGGAGUAUAAAGGUUACUAUUUCAUUACUGAAAAGUAAUACAAAGGGCCAAAGAAGGAAAAGAGGGGAAAAAACAAACAAAGCUUAAAAACGGGAUACUAGGUUACAAAUGACCUGUGGGGUUAAUUGAGCCCAUCAUUAAGUUGCAGACCAAUUUCUCAGUCUCCCCAAUCCUGCCUUCCUCCUUUCCCUUCAGUAGAUAUUGAACCAAAGGACACACCCUAAUAAACUGAUUAUCCUGGUGUGAUUCCAUCCUGCACGGCUGUUCUUUUGAGCAGUGGUCGUUUAUCUCUGCCCGCCUUCUCUUCUACCUAAGUGCGUUCCACCACCGGAUGGAAGAUUCGAUGGACAUGGACAUGAGCCCCCUGAGGCCCCAGAACUAUCUUUUUGGUUGUGAACUAAAGGCCGACAAAGAUGAUCACUUCAAGGUGGAUAAUGAUGAAAACGAGCACCAGUUAUCUUUAAGAAUGAUCAGUUUAGGGGCUGGUGCAAAGGAUGAAUUGCACAUUGUUGAAGCAAAGGCAAUGAAUUACGAAGGCAGUCCAAUUAAAGUAACACUGGCAACUUUGAAAAUGUCUGUACAGCCUACGAUUUCCCUUGGGGGCUUUGAAAUAACACCACCAGUGGUCUUACAUUUGAAGUGUGGUUCAGGGUCAGUACAUACUAGUGGACACCACUUAGUAGCUGUGGAGGAAGAUGCAGAGUCAGAAGACGAAGAGGAGGAGGAUGUGAAACUCUUAAGUAUAUCUGGAAAGCGGUCUGCCCCUGGAGGUGGUAGCAAGAUUCCACAGAAAAAAGUAAAACUUGCUGCUGAUGAAGAAGAUGAUGAUGAUGAUUUUGAUGAUGAGGAAACUGAAGAAAAACUACCAGUGAAGAAAUCUAUAUGCAGUACUCCAGCUAAAAAUGCACAAAAGUCAAAUCAGAAUGGAAAAGACUCAAAACCAUCAUCAACACCACGAUCAAAAGAACAAAAAUCCUUCACAAAAACAGGAAAAAACUCCUAAAACACCAAAAGGACCUAGUUCUGUACAAUACAUUAAAGCAAAAAUGCAAGCAAGUAUAGAAAAAGGUGGUUCUCUUCUCAAAGUGGAAGCCAGGUUCAUCAAUUAUGUAAAGAAUUGCUUCCGGAUUACUGACCAGGCUAUUCAAGAUCUCUGGCAGUGGAGGAAGUCUCUUUAAGAAAAUAGUUUAAACGAUUUGUUAAAAGUUUUCUGUCUUAUUUCAUUUCUCUAACAGUUGAUAUCUGGCUGUCCUUUUUAUAAUGUAGAGAGAGAACUUUCCCUACCGUGUUUGAUAAAUAUUGUCCAGGUUCCAUUGCCAAGAAUGUGUUGUCCAAAAUGCCUAUAGUUUUUAAAGAUAGAAUUCCACCCCUUGCUUGGUUUUAAGUAUGUAUGGAACGUUAUGAUAGGACAUAGUAGUAGCGGUGGUCAGACAUGGAAAUGGUGGGGAGACAAAAAUAUACAUGUGAAAUAAAACUCAGUAUUUUAAUAAAG